rnacentral:rRNA from 1 species
CAGUAGCCGCGGGAAUACGUAGGUGGCAAGCGUUGUCCGGAAUUAUUGGGCGUAAAGGGCUCGCAGGCGGUUUCUUAAGUCUGAUGUGAAGGCCCCCGGCUCAACCGGGGAGGGUCAUUGGAAACUGGGAAACUUGAGUGCAGAAGAGGAGAGUGGAAUUCCACGUGUAGCGGUGAAAUGCGUAGAGAUGUGGAGGAACACCAGUGGCGAAGGCGACUCUCUGGUCUGUAACUGACGCUGAGGAGCGAAAGCGUGGGGAGCGAACAGGAUUAGAUACCCCGGUAGUCCCUGUCUCUUAUAC